rnacentral:rRNA from 1 species
GACGAAGGGGGCUAGCGUUGUUCGGAAUUACUGGGCGUAAAGCGCGUGUAGGCGGUUGCCAUAGUCAGGUGUGAAAGCCUUGAGCUUAACUCAAGAAAUGCACUUGAUACUGGGCGACUAGAGGACCGGAGAGGAUAGUGGAAUUCCCAGUGUAGUGGUGAAAUACGUAGAGAUUGGGAAGAACACCAGUGGCGAAGGCGGCUAUCUGGACGGUUACUGACGCUGAGACGCGAAAGCGUGGGGAGCGAACAGG